UACAGAGGUCCCAAGCGUUGUUCGGAUUCACUGGGCGUAAAGGGUGCGUAGGUGGCGUGGUGAGUUGGGUGUGAAAUCUCCGAGCUUAACUCGGAAAUGGCACUCAAAACUGCUGGGCUAGAGGGUCGGAAGGGAGACUGGAAUUCUCGGUGUAGCGGUGAAAUGCGUAGAGAUCGAGAGGAACACCAGUGGCGAAAGCGAGUCUCUGGACGACCCCUGACACUGAGGCACGAAAGCUAGGGGAG
rnacentral:rRNA from 1 species